CAGCAGCCGCGGUAAAACGGAGGGGGCUAGCGUUGUUCGGAAUUACUGGGCGUAAAGCGCACGUAGGCGGCUUGGUAAGUUAGAGGUGAAAGCCUGGAGCUCAACUCCAGAAUUGCCUUUAAGACUGCCGAGCUAGCAGGUGAGAGAGGUAAGUGGAAUUCCGAGUGUAGAGGUGAAAUUCGUAGAUAUUCGGAAGAACACCAGUGGCGAAGGCGGCUUACUGGCUCAUACUGGACGCUGAGGCACGAAAGCGUGGGGAGCAAACAGGAUUAGAGACCCCCGUAGUCCCUGUCUCUUAUAC
rnacentral:rRNA from 1 species